GACGAACGCUGGCGGCGUGCUUAACACAUGCAAGUCGAGCGGUAAGGCCCUUUCGGGGGUACACGAGCGGUGAACGGGUGAGUAACACGUGGGUGACCUGCCCUCAGCUCUGGGAUAAGCCUGGGAAACCGGGUCUAAUACUGGAUAUGACUCCAUGACGCAUGUUGUGGGGUGGAAAGCCUUGUGCGGCUGAGGAUGGGCCCGCGGCCUAUCAGCUUGUUGGUGGGGUGANGGCCUACCAAGGCGACGACGGGUAGCCGGCCUGAGAGGGCGACCGGCCACACUGGGACUGAGACACGGGCCCAGACUCCUACGGGAGGCAGCAGUGGGGAAUCUUGCGCAAUGGGCGAAAGCCUGACGCAGCGACGCCGCGUGAGGGA
rnacentral:rRNA from 1 species